rnacentral:rRNA from 1 species
AGGGAUCUUCCGCAUGGACGAAAUCUGACGGAGCAACGCCGUGUGAACGAUGAAGGUCUUCGGAUCGUAAAGUUCUGUUGUUAGGGAAGAACAAGUGCCAGAGGAAAUGCUGGUACCUUGACGGUACCUAACCAGAAAGCCACGGCUAACUACGUGCCAGCAGCCGCGGUAAUACGUAGGUGGCAAGCGUUGUCCGGAAUUAUUGGGCGUAAAGCGCGCGCAGGCGGUUUCUUAAGUCUGAUGUGAAAGCCCACAGCUCAACUGUGGAGGGCCAUUGGAAACUGGGGAACUUGAGUACAGAAGAGGAGAGUGGAAUUCCACGUGUAGCGGUGAAAUGCGUAGAUAUGUGGAGGAACACCAGUGGCGAAGGCGACUCUCUGGUCUGUAACUGACGCUGAGGCGCGAAAGCGUGGGUAGCAAACAGGAUUAGAUACCCUGGUAGUCCACGCCGUAAACGUUGAGUGCUAGGUGUUAGGGGGUUUCCGCCCCUUAGUGCUGAAGUUAACGCAUUAAGCACUCCGCCUGGGGAGUACGGCCGCAAGGCUGAAACUCAAAAGAAUUGACGGGGGCCCGCACAAGCGGUGGAGCAUGUGGUUUAAUUCGAAGCAACGCGAAGAACCUUACCAGGUCUUGACAUCUUCCGCUAUCCCUAGA